UGGAAAAUAUUAUUUGGAAAUGAGUCCUCUAAGGCUUCUCACCUUCCCAAUAUUUCUCAGUUUGUUGAUCAUGGCAAUCUCUCAUCUGGGUCAAGCUCAGGAUUUGGAUCUUUCACCAGCACCUGCUCCUACUAGUGAUGGCACUGCAAUUGAUCAAGGAAUUGCUUACUUGCUUAUGGUUGUGGCGCUGGGAAUCACAUACAUGCUCCAUUGAUUUUAUUUUAUUUUGUAUUUUCUCCUGAUAUUUGGCGAGGGAAAUUCCAUGAUUUUUUUGUAAUUAUUAUUAUUAAUGAAAUUUAGUAUACUAUUCUUUUAUA